GAUGAACGCUGGCGGCGUGCCUAAUACAUGCAAGUAGAACGGUGAAGGAGGAGCUUGCGCGUCUGGAUGAGUCGCGAACGGGUGAGUAACGCGUAGGUAACCUGCCGGGUAUCGGGGGAUGACUGGUGGAAACGAUAGCUAAUACCGCAUGACAACAGUUAUGGGAGGUUAAUGGUUUAAAAGUGGGAUCUGCUAUGCGACCAGAUGGACUUGCGUUGUAUUUGGUAGUUGGGGAGCUAACGGCUGACCAAGGCGACGAGACAUAGCCGAAGGGGGAGGGUGGUAGGCCACCCUGGGAGGGGGACACGGCCCAGACGACUACGGGAGGCAGCAGUAGGGAACCUUCGGCAAUGGACGGGAAUCUUGCCGAGCAACGCCGCGUGAGUGAAGGAGGUUUUCCGGUCGUGAAGCUCUGUUGUAGGAGAAGAACGAGUGUCGGAGUGGAAAGUUCUCUCUGUGACGGUAUCUUACCAGGAAGCGACGGCUAACUACGUG
rnacentral:rRNA from 1 species